UACGGAGGGUGCAAGCGUUAAUCGGGAUUACUGGGCGUAAAGCGCACGCAGGUGGCUGAUUCAGUCGAUUGUGAAAGCCCUGGGCUUAACCUGGGAAUUGCAGUCGAUACUACUUAGCUAGAGUAUGGGAGAGGGCAGUGGAAUUCCCGGUGUAGCGGUGAAAUGCGUAGAUAUCGGGAGGAACAUCAGUGGCGAAGGCGGCUGCCUGGCCCAAUACUGACACUCAGGUGCGACAGCGUGGGGAGCAAACAGG
rnacentral:rRNA from 1 species